GAGGACGCGGAGCUCGACGACGAGGAGCUGCUCGUGCUGCUGGUGCUGGUGCUGGUCUUCCCGUUCUUCUCCUGAGUGUCCACCUUGAUGAGCCUGCUGAUGUGUUGGAGAAAGCUUCUGGUCAAGGACUUGCCAAAGCACAGUGAGACCCUGAGCCGCCACGUUCCCGGGACGCGUCUUUGCAACUCCUGCUCCCCCUCCCCCAGCACCCUUCCGGUCGGCGCUGACCCCUCCGUGUAGGAGGGCUCGGUUCUGCCAGGGUGCCUUCUGCAUUACAGAAAACCCGUCCAGCAAACCCUCUGCACCCAGCCGAGGGUCUGCAGGCUGUGACAUGGAAGGAACAGCUUGACCACCCAUGGUCUUCUACCUCUGAGGGCAGGGCCGAGGCCUGUGGGGGGUAGGGGUGUGGUGGUCCCGCGAUGGCCCAGGCACCUCCAGGACUCCGGCAUCUGCUUUCUCGCUCACGCACAGCUCACUCCUGAAGCUCCCAGCGAUCCUGUGAGACCCAGACGUGGAGGGCAGCCUUCUGCAUGGUUCCCGUGGAAAUGAGAGGCUCCUACCCUGUGCUGCUCCUGAGGGAGUGCUUCCGAGACCUAAGCUGGCUGCCAUCCGCAAUGUCGGUGGGGAGGCGGGGCUGCUGGUGACCAGCGUCGUCCCUCGGACCCUCUUCUUCUGGGCCACGCACACCACCGAGGCGUGGGCCUCGGGGCCUUCCCACGGGGCCUUCCUGGGGUGAGCCUGGUGACGGGGGCUGGUCCCCGGUUGUGGUCUCAUCCUCCUGCAUCGGCUCGGUCCAUGGGGCAGAUCCACAGCGCUACCUCACAGGCCACAUCUUCGGAGACAGACAGACGUGGGAUGCGGCGCAGACGGUGAGGCCUGUGGC